rnacentral:rRNA from 1 species
UACGGGGGGGGCAAGCGUUGUUCGGAAUUACUGGGCGUAAAGGGCUCGUAGGCGGCCAACUAAGUCAUACGUGAAAUCCCCCGGCUUAACCGGGGAACUGCGUCUGAUACUGGAUGGCUUGAGUUCGGGAGAGGGAUGCGGAAUUCCAGGUGUAGCGGUGAAAUGCGUAGAUAUCUGGAGGAACACCGGUGGCGAAGGCGGCAUCCGGGACCGAUACUGACGCUGAGGAGCGAAAGCCAGGGGAGCAAACGGG